rnacentral:rRNA from 1 species
CCUACGGGUGGCAGCAGUGGGGAAUAUUGGACAAUGGGCGAAAGCCUGAUCCAGCCAUGCCGCGUGUGUGAAGAAGGCCUUCGGGUUGUAAAGCACUUUCAGUGGGGAAGAAAGCCUUGGGGCUAAUACCCUCGAGGAAGGACAUCACCCACAGAAGAAGCACCGGCUAACUCCGUGCCAGCAGCCGCGGUAAUACGGAGGGUGCGAGCGUUAAUCGGAAUUACUGGGCGUAAAGCGCGCGUAGGCGGUCUGAUAAGCCGGUUGUGAAAGCCCCGGGCUCAACCUGGGAACGGCAUCCGGAACUGUCAGGCUAGAGUGCAGGAGAGGAAGGUAGAAUUCCCGGUGUAGCGGUGAAAUGCGUAGAGAUCGGGAGGAAUACCAGUGGCGAAGGCGGCCUUCUGGACUGACACUGACGCUGAGGUGCGAAAGCGUGGGUAGCAAACAGGAUUAGAUACCCGUUAGUC